rnacentral:sRNA from 1 species
UCGCCGAAAGACGAAUCCCCUGAGUAGGA